UUGACAGCUCUACAGACUCAAGUCCUCUAUUUUACCUCAGAACAAUCUCAGCAGAGGCAGCAGCAGCACAAAUAUCCCUAACAUUUCCCCUUGUGAAUGUGACACAACCUUGACCUGGAGGGACUACUUUGGGAAGGGGGGUUGGGGAAGGGAGAAGUUUGUUCUCUUGGCACCUCUGCUGAGACUGCU
ensembl:misc_RNA